GACGAACGCUGGCGGCGUGCUUAACACAUGCAAGUCGAGCGGUAAGGCCCUUUUGGGGGUACACGAGCGGCGAACGGGUGAGUAACACGUGGGUGACCUGCCCUCAGCUCUGGGAUAAGCCUGGGAAACUGGGUCUAAUACUGGAUAUGACCUUUCCUCGCAUGGGGUCGGGUGGAAAGUUUUUCGGCUGGGGAUGGGCCCGCGGCCUAUCAGCUUGUUGGUGGGGUGAUGGCCUACCAAGGCGACGACGGGUAGCCGGCCUGAGAGGGCGACCGGCCACACUGGGACUGAGACACGGCCCAGACUCCUACGGGAGGCAGCAGUGGGGAAUAUUGCGCAAUGGGCGGAAGCCUGACGCAGCGACGCCGCGU
rnacentral:rRNA from 1 species